rnacentral:sRNA from 1 species
GUUUAGCCCCGGGCGAAGCGACAUCCCCGAACGCGCAGCGAAGGGAUACAGCGGAGCACGGGGACAAGC